rnacentral:rRNA from 1 species
ACUCCUACGGGAGGCAGCAGUGGGGAAUAUUGCACAAUGGGCGGAAGCCUGAUGCAGCGACGCCGCGUGAGGGAUGACGGCCUUCGGGUUGUAAACCUCUUUCAGCAGGGACGAAGCGCAAGUGACGGUACCUGCAGAAGAAGCGCCGGCCAACUACGUGCCAGCAGCCGCGGUAAGACGUAGGGCGCGAGCGUUGUCCGGAUUUAUUGGGCGUAAAGAGCUCGUAGGCGGCUUGUCGCGUCGGCUGUGAAAUCCCGUGGCUCAACUGCGGGCUUGCAGCCGAUACGGGCAGGCUAGAGUUCGGUAGGGGAGACUGGAAUUCCUGGUGUAGCGGUGAAAUGCGCAGAUAUCAGGAGGAACACCGGUGGCGAAGGCGGGUCUCUGGGCCGAUACUGACGCUGAGGAGCGAAAGCGUGGGGAGCGAACAGGAUUAGAUACCCUGGUAG